GGGGGGUCGUCUAAAUGGUUAAGACACUCAAGCCGAUUUCGUUAAGGCUUUGAGAGAUCCUGGGUUCGAAUCCCGGUCACCCCACCAGGAAGGGCCCUGGUUUACCAAAACCCAUCCACACCUUGGUGGUGUGUAGACCCCCCCUGUGCUGCAGGGAGUCUCUGGGGUACAAGGCUGGAGCUCUGGGCCUGCAACUGGAGAGCUUUCAAGUUCAAGAUCCAAGAUUCAAGUGGAGCUCUGGGCCUGUCAACUGGAGAGCUCUAGAUGAUCUGUGUGGUCAAGGCAGUGGCUGUAGUUGUCACCUAGCUGUUGACAACUCCAGUAGGUGUGUGGUGUCACCUGGCUGUUGAGGUUUCCAGUAGGUGUGUGGUGGAACAAACUUCUCUUCUCUUCUCUGAUCUCUGGCCCUAUCGAGGUUCUGUGAUAUGAUCCAGGCUGCCUUGGCAGUAGGGUGGUAGUGCGUCUACCACCGCAACCUUGUAAGGAUGACUUUUUAAAAAAAAAAUGCAGCCCGGCAAAGAAAGCAGGCUUGUCCGCCACGGCCGUGGGCGCAUACACACACACAAAGCGCAGGCGCAGGUGACCCACGUCCCAAUCCCAACAUACAACACGGCCCGCCGCAUCCGUUGACGGCGGCUGCAGUACGCAGCCUGGAAGGGACAGCCGACUCCGCGCCAGGAUAGCCGUCCCACAGGAGUGGGGCGACGCUGCCGGGCUGGCAGCAAGGCAGUGGCGCCACGGAAGGCACGCCCCCUGCGCGGCACGAAGGCAAGACUCCAGCACCGUCGUGUCAGUAGCGUGGGUCUCCUGCACCAUCGCCACAUCCGCCCCAACUUGCUGUAGGUGCGAGACCAGCGCCCGCGCCUUGAACGGCGAGCCCAGGCCGUUGACAUUCACUGUCAGCAGCCGAAGGUUUGCCGCGCCCACUGGUGGCCGCAUUAUAAGCCCCCGCCGGCCACGGCAGCGCCGUGGCGGUUGCGGUUGCUGUUGCUGAUGUGGCGUUUGCCGCGGCGGCCGCCACCCUGGCUGGGGGGCGCGCCGCCGCUGCUGGUGCUCAUGCUAGCGGCACCUGAGCUGGCGCCGCCGGGGUGCAAUGGAGCGCUGCCCAGGCUCAUGAGGCUGGAGGUACUGCGGCUGCGGUGCUGGCGUUGCCGGCGGCUGGGCCCGCUGGCCCCGCCGGGGUCCGCCGGCCCACGCUUAGCGGACCGCAGGGUGCGGGCGUCUAGGAGCACGUAGUCCAUGUAGGCCGUCUGCACCUGCUGCGCGGCGUCAUCCAGCUGCUCCGUCACGUCGGAAGGCAGGGGCGUGCCUGCAGGCUGGGCUGAGUAUAGGCGCCACCAGCCAGUGAACUCGUCGUGCAGCUGUGCCAGGACGGCGGUACGGCCGGCCGGCACGCGGCAGACGGCCCAGUCCGGUACGGUGGCGCCCUGGUCACGGAGGUAGGCAAGGAGGCGGCCACCAAGCGUGUAGAGGCCCAGCUGCGCCCACUCAAACCCCUGCACAUCUGCGCAGCGGUUCUGGUGUGUCACGAGGUCAGAGCCGAUGGCAACACACGUGUCCCUGGUCAGGCAAACGGCCCCGUACUCCGCCUCACUGCCCGCACCCCCACCAGCGCGCCCAGCCGUGUCGGCCGAAACCCCAGCCAGCGCGCCCAGGCCCCUGCCCCUGCCCUUACCACCACCCGCCAGACCUAACCCAAGCACCAACCUACACCACAGCCUAACCGCAAGAACCACCACCACCGCGCACCAGAAAAGAAAACACCAGCGCUACGCACUCGCCCCGCCCAAACCCACCCCACCCCCACAAGUCGGUUGCUUAAGCAACACCCCAGGAGAACCGGCAGAGGAGACACAAGCAGAAAUCUAAACGGGCCAGAUGUGGCGCUGACUAAGCGGGCUCCAGUCCAGGGCGGGCAAGGGCAUUCGGCCACGGGUGACCACGGGGUGCGGGGGGUUGGGGGCGCACUGUCCUCACCCCGCCUGCGGGCCACCUGGCCCGCGGGCGUGGGCCAGCCUGACGCACAUCUUCCUGGAGUGUCCAGCUUAUGCGCAGGCGAGGACGUGGCUGCAGCAGCUGUGGGCCUGCGUUGCGCCCCAGGCAGCGGCGCCGCCAGUGACGGACGCGGGCUUCAUGCUGGGGGACCGGAUGGGUAUGUGGGCCUCAGGCCCGCGGGGGGCGGGCGCCCUGCUGUGGAGCACUUUGCGGGCCACCUUCUUGUACGCCGUCUGGUGUGCGUACUGGUCCCGCGAGCCUGCUAAGCAGACGUCGGAGCAUGUGGUUCGGGAGGUGGUCAGCGAGCUGCGCAGGGUGAUGCGGCUGCGUUUCACUGCCGCCACGCUAACCCCUGAAACCCUGUCGGCUCUGCCCACACAGCUUCUCACCGCACAGCUCAAGGCGGCUAAGCUGGAGCACUUUGUUGCCAUCUGGUCGGCGGGUGGCGCGCUUUGUGAAGUGGAGGAGGUUCAGGGUGGGGCACCGAAGUUGAACUUGCGGCUGACGCUUGCAUCACCCGUGCAGGCCCCCUAGAUUUCCUUUUGGGCGGCGUUUUUUUCCAGUCGUGGCUGGAGUGGCAGCGCCUGGGCGGCUGUGGGCCUUCCUGCACAGCGCGUCUUGCAGCGGACUGGAGCCCGCUUAGUCAGCGCCACAUCUGGCCCGUUUAGUUUUCUGCUUGUGUCUCCUCUGCCGGUUCUCCUGGGGUGUUGCUUAAGCAACCGACUUGUGGGGGUGGGGUGGGUUUGGGCGGGGCGAGUGCGUAGCGCUGGUGUUUCUUUUUCUGGCGCGCGGUGGUGGUGGUUCUUGCGGUUAGGCUGGGGUGUAGGUUGGUGCUUGGGUUAGGUCUGGCGGUGUUUUUGUGCAACCCCUCCCGGGGGGCGGGGGGGCCAGCCUCCUGCUCUGUCUGCCGGGUCGGGGUGGGGUGGGGUGGGAUGGAUGGGGGUGGUUGGUGGCGGUUUUCGAGGUGUUUGCUUUCUGUUUUCUUCUCUUUUCUUCUCUUCUUGCCCUGUCAGGGUUCUGGUCUCGGGGACCAGGCUGCUUUCAGGCAGCAGGGGGGCAGCGCGUCUGCCCCUGUUCAACCUUGUAAGGAUGAUUCCUCAAAAAAAAAGGACGCCUCCGCCACGUACCGUAUUCGAUCAGGCCUUCAGGGUUUCAGGGGGUAGCGUGGCGGCAGUGAAACGCAGCCGCAUCACCCUGCGCAGCUCGCUGACCACCUCCCGAACCACAUGCUCCGACGUCUGCUUAGCAGGCUCGCGGGACCAGUACGCACACCAGACGGCGUACAAGAAGGUGGCCCGCAAAGUGCUCCACAGCAGGGCGCCCGCCCCCCGCGGGCCUGAGGCCCACAUACCCAUCCGGUCCCCCAGCAUGAAGCCCGCGUCCGUCACUGGCGGCGCCGCUGCCUCGGGCGCAACGCAGGCCCACAGCUGCUGCAGCCACGUCCUCGCCUGCGCAUAAGCUGGACACUCCAGGAAGAUGUGCGUCAGGCUGGCCCACGCCCGCGGGCCAGGUGGCCCGCAGGCGGGGUGAGGACAGUGCGCCCCCAACCCCCCGCACCCCGUGGUCACCCGUGGCCGAAUGCCCUUGCCCGCCCUGUACAGCCCGCAAGGCAGGUAAGCAUGUUGCAGCCGGUACACAAGUACCUUUGCCCCCCGACUGGCGUGGCUGUCCCACAGCCUCCGCCACGUACCCCGCAGAAGGGACGCAUCCGGGGGCGGCAUGCGAGGGUCGCCCUCCACUGCCGCCGCUGCUGCCGCCGCCGCCGUGGCAGGCCCCGUGCUAGGCCCCGCCCCUCCCGCCGCCUGCUCCUGCAGCCGCGCGGACCGCCGCGGCCCCUCACCCGACUGCUGGGACGGGGACGCAUACGACUGUAGUUCUCUCGCCGGCGUGUUCUGCAGCCCGGCUGCCGCGGAGGUGCGGUGGAGCCAGGGGUCCAGAGCCACCGGGUUAUUGUGGAAAUGCUGCGCCGCCGUGGUGGUCAGCUGCGCCGCUGCACGCUGCCACUCCGCCUCCCGCUUCGCCAGCCGCGACUGUGCCGCCGGCUGUGUCCCCGAACCCCCCGCCUGCUGUGCGCCUGGCGCUGGGCACGGCAUGGCUGCAGGGCGGGCCGGAGCCGGAGGUGCGGCCGGGUUAGCCGCGGUGAUGGCCCGCCGCACGUCCCGCACCGUGUAGUCCGCUAAGCUGACACCCGCAAUCCGGCAGUGCUCCGGGUGCACCACCACCCCAGCCUCCGGCGCCAGGAAGUACGGCGCCCGAGGCCACGCCCCCGCCCGUUCCCCUGGUGAUGCUGCAUCGUACGCCGCCCGCUCUUCAAAGGUCCACAGGUGCCGCGGCUUGCGAUGCUGCAGCACACAGGCAGGCUGCCACGCCCCAUCCACCGCCGGGGGCAGCACGCCAGGCCCAGGCUCCAAGAGCCGCCCCGUGUAGUGGACGUAGGACACAGCCCCCGCAGCGUUAGCCACCCACAGCUGGUCCAGGCUAACCCGCCACUGUGGCGGCGCCGCUGGCGGCUGAGUGGCUGGCUGCGGCGGAUGCUGUUCCACACCCGCGCUCCGCACGUGGCCGACCGCGGCCGCCAGCCGGGCAGGCAGCCCCGCUGGCGCCGGCGCGUCGCUGUACACCCACGCCCACGUGGUGGCGGAGUCUGGGCGCACAUGGGUAAGCAUGAGACCCGGGGGGGUCGUCUAAAUGGUUAAGACACUCAAGACGAUUUCGUUAAGGCUUCGAGAGAUCCUGGGUUCGAAUCCCGGUCACCCCACCAGGAAGGGCCCUGGUUUACCAAAACCCAUCCACACCUUGGUGGUGUGUAGACCCCCCCUGUGGUGCAGGGAGUCUCUGGGGUACAAGGCUGGAGCUCUGGGCCUGCAACUGGAGAGCUUUCAAGUUCAAGAUCCAAGAUUCAAGUGGAGCUCUGGGCCUGUCAACUGGAGAGCUCUAGAUGAUCUGUGUGGUCAAGGCAGUGGCUGUAGUCGUCACCUAGCUGUUGAGAACUCCAGUAGGUGUGUGGUGUCACCUGGCUGUUGAGGUUUCCAGUAGGUGUGUGGUGGAACAAAAACUUCUCUUCUCUUCUCUGAUCUCUGGCCCUAUCGAGGUUCUGUGAUAUGAUCCAGGCUGCCUUGGCAGUAGGGAGGUAGUGCGUCUACCACCGCUACCUUGUAAGGAUGACUUAUCAUCGUGGGCGUCUGCAGCGGCAGCAAAGGCAGCGGCAGCAGCAGCACACAAGCGCGGACCCAGCAGCGCCCAGAAAAC
rnacentral:lncRNA from 1 species